UCUUUGAAUUUUGAUCUUUAUGUAGAUAUAGUAUACAUUCACUUACAUACUAUAAAAAUCAAAACACAAAGCUCUGUUUUUUUUUCUCUCUCAAUCCCUUGAUGGCAGAUGUUAUUCGAUUAUCAUCAUCAUCAUCGGCAAUUCAUUCGCUUCGUUUCUCUUCUCUCUCACUACUUACCUCCUUUGCCUCCACCUCAAAUUCUCCUCAACCGUCUCUUCUCACCACCCAGAAUUUAUAUAAGAUAAUUUAUCCUCUUUCCUAUUCUUCUUCUUCUUCUUCUGCUAGUGGUCUUGCUUUCCUUGCUUUUACUCCCAGAGGGCAAUCGCUCACCUCGCUUCUAGUGGUCUCUCUGAUUUUUGAAUUUUUAUUUUCAAUCCCAUUAGCGAAAAUCAUGUAUACCCAUUUGCUUUUACUCCCAUUUUGUUUGGUAAUUAUGAUUUUUAUUGUUGGAUAAAGAGUUGUCUUGUAAACCUGUUAAUUGAAGUUCUUUGCUUGUGGAAUGUUAUUAUCGGAAUUAGGCAGCUUUAGAUUCCUUUUGAGCUAAAUUUGGAUACUUGAUGCAAAGUUUUGUGCUUUCUGAAAUAUUCUUGUUUAAAAGUGAACUUUUUUAGUAAUGGCUUUGUCCUAAUCUUUGCUGACCCUCUGGUAAUUGUGAUUGGCCAUGAUGAUCAUAGAACUGCAAAUUUAAUUUUUAUUUUUGAAGCAGUAAAUUUAAUAUUUUUAGAAACACAUAGUCCAUUUUUAAGGCUCUUCUCAGGGUUUCCUGGUGACGUUUUGUCUUGAUUUAAAGGCAAGGUAACUAUGCUGAGCUUUAGCUACUGGCCACGAAAACAAACAUCCUUUAGCCUGCCUGCUGUAUACCAGGUUGUAGCAUGCAUGCUUUGAAUAUUUAGAUACCAGGAUUAUUCUACUUUUUUUGGGGAUAACUGAGGUCUAUUCUCCAUUACCUUGUUGGAUGUUGGUGUGUUGGGGAUUUGACACCCUCUCCUCAUUCUGCAAUAUGCUUUUACUAGCUGCCAACUUGUUUUUCUCUGGGAGCAUAAAUUAUCUUUAUCUAAAUAAUCAAAUUAUAUCGUUAUUGGACCAAGCAUCAAGGGAUAUAGAAAUUUAGAAGAUGCUAAAUCACCUGUUUGUUCACAAUCACGUCUCAGAACACUUUUCUGACAUUGCUAAUACUAUUUGAGGAAUAUAAGUAUGAUUAUUUUCCUGUUUAUGGGAAAAUGCCAUUAAUCAAAUUCCUUCACUUCAGAAGGGCGCAUGUUCAUUCUGACCAAGAUUGGCCUGCUUAUAGGACAUUCAAGUCACUUUCUUCCAAGCUGAGGGAAGCAAAAGGAUCAGGUGGCAGGGGUAAGCUUCGUGUUCUUCCUUCCAACAUCUGAAUUACAGUGCUCA